GUUUUUUUGGCUGUGAAGAAGGAGUCAGUGCUGUGAGGAACUGCCCAUGAGAAGUCACUGAGAAGGUGAUGUGUGGGAAAUAAUGAUAUGGCAUAUGAGCUCCCACCUAGCACAGCCACCAUCAAAAUGCCACAUUCUAAUGCAAUUGGCUCAGAAGUGACCCAGGUCACAAUGUGAGAACUUGCUGUCAUAGGCUGAACUUCAGAUGGAGGUUUUGGAGUGCAGGAUGCCUGGCCCAGCCAGAGAAACAACCAGCUCAUAGGAGCACCAGCUCCUGGUGUAACUAGGAACCAAACUUGGAGGUCACAGGGAUCCUAAAAGCAAUAGGGGAAUUCCACCACAGGCCUAUUUUUUAAUGCAUAUGGGAGUUAUGAGAGUGUGUUUUGUACCUUCCUGCAUCACCUCCUGCCCAAGCCCUAUUGAAUCCCUUGACCAGCCUCACCUGAAUUUGAUCACAAGCUGCAGGCUCAGAGAUAUUAAAUCUCUGAAAGUGCUGCACCAAUAAGCAGUGAAGGAAAAUUUGGCUCAGAAAUGGCCCAGAGGAAGUUCAUGGCGCAACAACACAAAAUCUCAGUGACUUUAGCACUGCAGCAGGUGGAAGCUCAGGAGCAAGAAGAGGGAAUGGGGACCCCUUUGCCAGCUCUCUGCAUCCUCAGUGGAAGGCUGUGCUGGGAUAUCAGCACCUUCCCACAGCAGGGCCAGGGUUUGCCCUCUCCUGCCAGUGCACACUGGGGGAAGGUGUGGGACGUGUGGUUGAAGAUUUCUGCGCUCAUCUCCUGCUGAGGGAUCUUAUCCCCAUCCCCAGGUAUGUGUGGAUGGUCAAGACUCACAGAGAUCUGAGGCUGUUUAAGCUUUUCAGUAGGGGCUGCUGUGCAGAGUUGGAGUGUGUAAAACAUGCUUUUAAUUGGGUUAAGGGAUCCAUGAGUGAACAAACAGGGUCUUCCUACACUAGCCCUCUUGACACUCAAAGUCAGGAUAGAGUUCAGACUAACUGUUUAUUUAAUAUUUAUUUUAUGUUACCAAUCAUAUUUGCUGGCAAGGAGCAGAUUAUAUUUAAGCCCUGGGAAUCCAAUGAGUAUUUUACUACCAAUUCCAUUAAGGCCAGCAUUUUAUUCCUUGCCAUCUAAAUCUCCAUGUUUGAGUAGGAGAGCUCUUUACUUUAAAUAUGAGAGCAGUGGGUGAACCUUUCCAAUCACACCAUCUAUUAUUAUAUUUAAUACUGGGGUAGCUGCAGUGCUAGAAGGACUCUUCAAAUAAACAGUCACUAAGUAUGACAGUGGCAAUGGAAUGUGCACUGUGAAAUUAUCUAAUUACUGACACUUUGAGUCUGUAUCAACAAUUUGUUUUGAAAUAGAAUAUAAUUAAAUUAUUUUGCUCCAAGUACAUCCAAAGAGCAAUAAACUUCCACAACAAAGAGGGGAAAAAAUUGCCAUGUAAGGAUGAUUUUGAACAUUUGGAGGAUAAUAUCCUUGCAGAAAAUGUUUGUCAUGGCUACCAUUCUUGGACCUGUUUUCUGGGCUCUGUUAAAACCUCUUGAUGGUUAUGGAAAUGAAAAGAAGGUUCCCAAAGGAAAGGGAGAAGAUGAGAAUAGAAACAGAUGCUACAGCACCCCAGAAUGCUUUACUGUUGGUUAUGGAAGGUAUCCAGAGUCUGAUUUGAGCAGUAAUUGCUUUGUUUGGUCACAGCUUUGAAAAGUAAUGUAGCAACAUGAACAGAUGCAUCUAAUCUGUUAUUUGGAAUAAGAAUGAUUAUAGAUGCUUUUCAGGGUGGAAGGGCAUCACUGCAAUUUGUUGAUACAGAUUGUGAAACAGAAAUCAGAGUUGGAGUGUGAAGUCAUAGUCAGAGUUAACCGGUGUCCUGGUCUUGGCUGGGAUUGAAGUAAUUUUCCUCCAGCUGAAACCAGGACAACUGGACACUUGGAGAGAUGUUUGAUGCCACUCUGUGAGUUCUGCACAAGGCUGAGUGUGUGAGUGCUGCAGGGCCAGGCUGUCAGAGGUGGAAGCCCUGGCAGGAUCAUGCCUGUGCUGCUGGAGAUGGAGAGCAGAGGGAGAGCAGGAGCCAGGGGAGGGAUGGGGCUGGGAGCAUCCCCUGUGCCUCGGGUGCUGCUGCUCUGCUCUGGGACACCCACACACAGGGAGCUGUGAUCCUUUCUGUCUCCUGGUGAGCAUGGAAUGAGCUUUGCUAUGAGUCCUCAGUGGGGAGGAAGACUCCAGAGCUAUUUCAGGGAGGCCUUUCCAGUUCCUAGCACAUGCACCCCUGUCAAGAGUAAGAGUAAAAUUCAGAAAAGACGUCAAAGGAAAGAAAAAAUCUGUUCCACGUUACACUGCAUGUACCUUGCUACAGCUCCUCCCUGCUUGUCUUUAACAAGAAAUCUAGGUUGCAUGCAUUUAAAAAAAAAAUGUUGCUUUUCAUCUACUUGCAAAAAAAACCUUGGGAGUACCAUUCUCCUCUCAUCAUUUUUUGGAAUUAAUUAAAAGACAUAUAAGCCAGCAGCAGCAUAAAACAGCCAAGAAUGUCAUCUCUCAAGUAUCACAGCCUUUAAUAAAAGUCAGUGGCACCGUUUGUGACCAUCUGAUGUUUAUGGCUGCUGCCUCUGAAGUUCAUUGUGUUUCAGCAGCCACCUUGGCUCGUCUCCAUUCUUGCUUUAACCUCAAUGACUUUGGCAUAGUUAUUCCAGGGCUGAACUUCGCCCAUUUUCUCUUCCACAGAAUAUGAGGUCUGCUGCUUGCUUAUCAAAUAUGAAACUGUGUACAACUGGGCAACCUCAUGCUAAUGGAAUCAAUACAGCCAAAGAGAUCUCACAACCUCGCUGCACUUUUUACAAUUUACUUUGUUCGUCACCCAUUAAUUCUUAUAUUGAUUUUGCUAUAAAACACAAACUGCAUUCCUAUCACAGCCCGAGAAAAAAGCACAUUGAUUAUAUUGGAACAAGGUACGUUGUAAAAAUGAAAUGCCUAAAACAUUUAAAUGUAGUAAGCUCUGCUAAAGUCCAUAAAUCACAUUGUUUAAUGUUGUGAAUGAGUGGUGCUGCCUUAAACAAGGGAAAAAUAUGGGACCAUAAACCAAUUUUGACACAAAAUAACAGUCUGUGUUUCUCUGUACCUGCCAUUCUAGAAAAGCUAUCAAUAAUGGUUAUGGUUGUUUGCAGGUGUGGGGGGGAAACAUUCUCAAUAUCCCCUUUAGAAAGUUCCUUCAAAGUCACUUUGUAAAAUUGACAACAGAGGUGUUUUAC